rnacentral:rRNA from 1 species
UACAGAGGUCUCAAGCGUUGUUCGGAUUCAUUGGGCGUAAAGGGUGCGUAGGUGGCGCUGUAAGUCGGGUGUGAAAUUUCGGAGCUUAACUCCGAAAACUGCAUUCGAUACUGCGGUGCUUGAGGACUGGAGAGGAGACUGGAAUUCCUGGUGUAGCGGUGAAAUGCGCAGAUAUCAGGAGGAACACCGGUGGCGAAGGCGGGUCUCUGGGCCAUACUGACGUGAGGAGCGAAAGCGUGGGGGAGCGAACAGG